GAGCUCCUCACCCUGGGAGACAGGGGCCCCUCCACCAGCUGCUGUGGGAAUGCCACAUCUGGUAUUCCUGCAGCCACUUCCUCUCCAGGGAGAAGGUUGGUCUCCACCCUGUGCGGUUGCAUAAAAUGAUGCUGGGCUCCUGGGAGCAAGCCUGCUGGGAGCUGCGGAACAUCCUGCAGGCUCCUGUAGGGCUGGAGGCUCUGCUCAGCUGAUUAAACAUGCCUCAUCUGGGAAGACAUUUAAAGGGACCAUCAUGUGGCAUGGCCAGGCUUUCCGUAGCUGAACAUUGUAUUUCAUAAGGCGGAAAGCACAGUUUUUGUUUUAAAUGCAGCUAAGUGCGCUGGAAAUUGGCCUUCAAAGCUGGGAGCCCCAACCUGCCUUGUGGAAGAAGCUCACCCUGUCCACUCUAGGUGUAAGGGUCCCCUUGAGCGAGCCAGGAUUCUUUUAAGUUGCAAGUGACUGAGAAGACACUCUGUAGAUAAUGGAAACCACAUCCUUGGUCUCACAAGUCAUCAAGAAGUUCUAAUGGAUUACGUGCUUCUUUAAGCAACGAGGUUGACUCUUUUUCCCAACCUGGGUCAUGAACAGAGUGUUGGUGAAGUUCUUGUUCAGAAUCCUGAUUACAGAUGAAAACCAACAUGGACCAGCUUAAGAAAAGAUGUUCCUUGGAAGAAAUGGGUGCUCCUGUGGACUGGCAGGGCUGACUGGGUCAGGGGGCACGUCCUACACAAGUCCAAACCAGGACUAAGAAACAGGUCACUGACCCCAUGACUCUGCCCUCAUCCCUUUCACCCAAACUAUUUAAAGAGGAGCAUAGAAAAGGAAGACUUCAGGCAAAACCAAGACAAACAGAAACACAAUGUAAUUCAAGAACACAUUCCAAAUACCUGCUCUUUAAAUCUUUCCUUUUACACCUUAAGUUAAUUUCACUUUCCUCCAGGUAUGUGUGAGGUAGUUCUCAUUGUGUUUUAGACAUCUGGAGUUUCCUAAAACUCCCGGUUCAUCUUCUCUUCUGAGCAACAUGUAUUUACCACCUUUUCUUUCAACCUGUUAGGUAUUUCCCUGCCUACUUGAGUUCAUAACCAAUUUUGUGUUUUCUCAUUUAAAUUUCAGUUUAAUGUGAUAACAGAGUAUGUUACUCUGGUCUCCCCUGAAAAGUUAAAUUGCUACAUGUUUGUUUUGUGGCUGUUCUGUCACAGCACAGCUUUCUGCUCUGGGGGAGAAGAGAAUCGGUUCUGACAGGUCCCACUCUCAACUAACUUAUCAUCUGAUCAAAUAAAAUGUGAUUGUUUCAAAAUUGGUCUUGGGUCAAAUAGAAAUGUUUUCCACAAUGAUUUCAGGCAUCACUUUUCAAAUGCUUUUUUAAGACUUAGAGCCUGUUGUAAUUAGGAAUUUUCAAAAAAUUCGGUCCGGUAAAAUCUUCCCUAGUGUCUCCCAGACUGGUUUCCUCCUUCUCUGAAUGUUUUUUAUGGCAGGUAGCACACAAUUUAUUUGUUGUCGAAUUGUUUGUAGUGUGUUGCUCUUCUCUGCAUCCAAUUGAAGCGUGACUGUGGGAGGCAAGGGCAGUGAUGGUGACUUUCCUGUCCUUCAUAUCUGCUCUAGAGUGCCAGACAAAGAGUUGACACAAAGCUUUGCCUUCGAGGCUUAUAGGUUGAAGGCUGUAAGAAAUCUUUAUCUCUCUAAUGUCUACACAUUUCUGGCCUGCUGCUUUUCAUCUGCCCACAAUGGAGAAAUCUUGUUAGAACUGUGGACCAAGUAGGAGUAACUUAGCUUUGAGUCACAUCCGGCAAGAUCUCUUAUCCCUGAAAUUCACAGCCACUAGACAUAAGUGUUUGACAUUUUAAUAUCUAUUUUGCUUACUUGGAAGUUUCUCUUCUCCAAUCUUGUUCUUACCUUUUAGUUAUUACAAUGUUUUGAACCAGCCAAGGUCAUUAGACAAUUAAGUCCUGAGUAAAUACCAUAUCACUAUCAUGGCCCUCUAAGCAAAUUCACAAAUGUAUUUUUAUUAUCAAAUCCAGAAAAUGGGGACUCCUGGAUGGAUGACUUGGCUGGAUUUUUGGUAGAGGAAUGAAAAAUCUAGUAAA